GCGCCUAACACAUGCAAGUCGAACGAGAAAGUGGAGCAAUCCAUGAGUAAAGUGGCGUACGGGUGAGUAACACGUGGGUAAUCUACCUCUUUGUGGGGAAUAACCCUGGGAAACCGGGGCUAAUACCGCAUAAGCUCGAGAGAGGAAAGCAGCAAUGCGCUGAGAGAGGAGCCCGCGGCCGAUUAGCUCGUUGGCAGGGUAAAAGCCUACCAAGGCAUCGAUCGGUAGCCGGCCUGAGAGGGCACACGGCCACACUGGCACUGAAACACGGGCCAG
rnacentral:rRNA from 1 species